CGUUAGAGCAUUGAGAGGACCUUUCCCUAGUACGAGAGGACCGGGAAGGACGCACCUCUGGUGUACCAGUUAUUGUGCCUACGGUAAACGCUGGGUAGCCAAGUGCGGAGAGGAUAACUGCUGAAAGCAUAUAAGUAGUAAGCCCACCCCAAGAUGAGUGCUCUCUCCUCCGACUUCCCUAGAGCCUCCGGUAGCACAGCCGAGACAGCGACGGGUUCUCCACCCAUACGGGGAUGGAGCGACAGAAGCAUGGAAAUAGGAUAAGUUAGCGGCGAGACGAGCCGUUUAAAUAGGUGUCAAGUGGAACUGCAGUGAUGUCAUGGAAUAAUCCAUUUUCAUGGAAUAA
rfam:Oryza sativa (indica cultivar-group) chromosome 4, whole genome shotgun sequence.